rnacentral:rRNA from 1 species
AACGAACGCUGGCGGCAUGCCUAACACAUGCAAGUCGAACGAGACCUUCGGGUCUAGUGGCGCACGGGUGCGUAACGCGUGGGAACCUGCCCUUAGGUUCGGAAUAACUCCCCGAAAGGGGUGCUAAUACCGGAUAAUGUCUUCGGACCAAAAAUUUAUCGCGUUUGGAUGGGCCCGCGUUGGAUUAGCUAGUUGGUAGGGUAAAAGCCUACCAAGGCGACGAUCCAUAGCUGGUCUGAGAGGAUGAUCAGCCACACUGGGACUGAGACACGGCCCAGACUCCUACGGGAGGCAGCAGUGGGGAAUAUUGGACAAUGGGCGAAAGCCUGAUCCAGCAAUGCCGCGUGAGUGAUGAAGGCCUUAGGGUUGUAAAGCUCUUUUACCCGGGAUGAUAAUGACAGUACCGGGAGAAUAAGCUCCGGCUAACUCCGUG